ensembl:snoRNA
GGAACCAGUGGUGAUGACAGGUCAUGGACGGUGGAUAGUAGGUGUCUGGAACCCUGAGGUUCAA